GAGGAAUAUUGGUCAAUGGACGGAAGUCUGAACCAGCCAUGCCGCGUGAAGGAUGAAGGCGUUCUGCGUUGUAAACUUCUUUUAUCUGGGAAGAAACCUCCGAUUUCUAUUGGAGCCGACGGUACCAGAGGAAUAAGCACCGGCUAACUCCGUGCCAGCAGCCGCGGUAAUACGGAGGGUGCAAGCGUUAUCCGGAUUUACUGGGUUUAAAGGGUGUGUAGGCGGACCAUUAAGUCAGCGGUGAAAUCUCCGGGCUCAACCCGGAAACUGCCAUUGAUACUAUUGGUCUUGAAUGUUGUGGAGGUGGGCGGAACGGGUCAUGUAGCGGUGAAAUGCAUAGAUAUGACCCGGAACACCGAUUGCGAAGGCAGCCCGCUACGCAACGAUUGACGCUGAGGCACGAAAGCGUGGGGAUCAAAC
rnacentral:rRNA from 1 species